rnacentral:tRNA from 1 species
GCGGGUGUGGCGGAAUUGGCAGACGCGCUGGUUUUAGGUACCAGUGGGGCAACCCGUGGAGGUUCGAGUCCUCUCACCCGCA